CUACGGGCCGCUGCAGUCGAGAAUCUUUUGCAAUGCCCGAAAGGGUGACAAUGCGACGCCGCGUGAGCGACGAAGGCCUUCGGGUUGUAAAGCUCUGUCAGCUGGGACGAAUGCAGAAAUAUUAAUACUAUUUCUGUUUGACGGUACCAGCAGAGGAAGCCACGGCUAACUCCGUGCCAGCAGCCGCGGUAAUACGGAGGUGGCGAGCGUUGUUCGGAUUUACUGGGUGUAAAGGUCAUGUAGGCGUCUUAUUAAGUCGGGUGUGAAAUCCCACGGCUCAACCGUGGAACUGCACUCGAUACUGGUAGGAUGGAGUACGAGAGAGGUAAGCGGAAUUCCGGAAGUAAGGGUGAAAUCUGUAGAUAUCCGGAAGAACACCAUUAGCGAAGGCGGCUUACUGGCUCGAUACUGACGCUGAGAUGAGAAAGCUAGGGGAGCGAACAGGAUUAGAUACCCCAGUAGUC
rnacentral:rRNA from 1 species